GACGAACGCUGGCGGCGUGCUUAACACAUGCAAGUCGAACGGAAAGGCCCUGCUUUUGUGGGGUGCUCGAGUGGCGAACGGGUGAGUAACACGUGAGUAACCUGCCCUUGACUUUGGGAUAACUUCAGGACACUGGGGCUAAUACCGGAUAGGAGCUCCUGCUGCUUGGUGGGGGUUGGAAAGUUUCGGCGGUUGGGGAUGGACUUGCGGCUUGUCGGCUUGUUGGUGGGGUAGUGGCGUACCAAUGCUUUGACGGGUAGCCGGCCUGAGAGGGGGACCGGCCCAGUUGGGACUGGGAUGCGGCCCGGCCUCAUCCGGGAGGCAGGGGUGGGGAAGGUUGCACAAUGGGAGGAAGCCUGAUGCAGCGACGCCACGUGCGGGAUAACGGCAUUCGGGUUGGAAACCGAUUUCGCCUGUGACGAGGCGUGAGUGACGGUAAUGGGUAAAGAAGCACCGGCUAACUACGUG
rnacentral:rRNA from 1 species